AUGAAGAGGCUGCUUUGUUCCCUGGUUGUGUUGCUGUGCACCCAAGUUUUCUGGGUGAAAGGGCAGCAAGUGAAGCAGAGUCCUGUGUCCUUGGUUCUGCAGGAGGGAGAGAGUGCAGAGCUGAAGUGCAACUUUUCCAUCACUGCAACCCAAAUGCAGUGGUUUCACCAAAGCCCUGGGGGACACCUCAUCAGCCUGUUUUACAAUCCUUCUGGAACAAAGCAGAGUGGAAGACUGAAGUCCAUGACAGUCACCCAGGAACGCUGCAGCUCUUUGUCCAUUUCCUCCUCUCAGAGCACAGACUCAGGCACUUAUUUCUGUGCUGUAGAUUUUGGCUCCAAAGGUUCAGGAAUUUGGUUCAUCUCCAAUUCUCAAUAUACACUUCCUCCUAGAGCAUAA